AAUCAACGCUGGCGGCGUGCCUAACACAUGCAAGUCGAACGCGAAAGUGGAGCAAUCCAUGAGUAGAGUGGCGAACGGGUGAGUAACACGUGGGUGACCUACCUUCGAAUGGGGGAUAACGUCCCGAAAGGGACGCUAAUACCGCAUAACAUCCUGCCUUUGAAGAGGUGGAGAUCAAAGCUGGGGAUCGCAAGACCUGGCGUUUGAAGAGGGGCCCGCGUCUGAUUAGCUAGUUGGUGAGGUAACGGCCCACCAAGGCGACGAUCAGUAUCCGGCCUGAGAGGGCGGACGGACACACUGGGAUUGAGACACGGCCCAGACUCCUACGGGAGGCAGCAGUGGGGAAUUGUUCGCAAUGGGCGCAAGCCUGACGACGCAACGCCGCGUGGAGGAUGAAGGUCUUCGGAUUGUAAACUCCUGUUGCUCGGGACGAAAUGCUCUGACCUAACACGUCAGAGUUUGACGGUACCGGGUGAGGAAGCCCCGGCUAACUCUGUGC
rnacentral:rRNA from 1 species